AUGUUUAGGCAGAUCGUUAACUAUGAG
rnacentral:piRNA from 1 species